rnacentral:rRNA from 1 species
CUACGGAGGGUGCAAGCGUUAAUCGGAAUUACUGGGCGUAAAGCGCGCGUAGGCGGAUUGUUAAGUCUCAUGUGAAAGCCCUGGGCUCAACCUGGGAACUGCAUGGGAUACUGGCAAUCUAGAAUACAGUAGAGGGUAGUGGAAUUUCAGGUGUAGCGGUGAAAUGCGUAGAGAUCUGAAGGAACAUCAGUGGCGAAGGCGACUACCUGGACUGAUAUUGACGCUGAGGUGCGAAAGCGUGGGGAGCAAACGGGAUUAGAAACCCGAGUAGUCC